rnacentral:rRNA from 1 species
GACGAACGCUGGCGGCGUGCUUAACACAUGCAAGUCGAACGGAAAGGCCCUGCUUUUGUGGGGUGCUCGAGUGGCGAACGGGUGAGUAACAAGUGAGUAACCUGCCCUUGACUUUGGGAUAACUUCAGGAAACUGGGGCUAAUACCGGAUAGGAGCUCCUGCUGCAUGGUGGGGGUUGGAAAGUUUCGGCGGUUGGGGAUGGACUCGGGGCUUAUCAGCUUGUUGGUGGGGUAGUGGCUUACCAAGGCUUUGACGGGUAGCCGGCCUGAGAGGGUGACAGGCCACAUUGGGCCUGGGAUACGGCCCAGACUCCUACGGGAGGCAGCAGUGGGAAAUAUUGCACAAUGGGCGGAAGCCUGAUGCAGCAACGCCGCGUGGUGGAUGACGGCCUUCGGGUUGUAAACCGCUUUCGCCUGUGACGAAGCGUGAGUGACGGUAAUGGGUAAAGAAGCACCGGCUAACUACGUG